ACGCUCGACACCUACGGAGGCAGCAGUGGGGAAUAUGCACAAUGGGGGAAACCCUGAUGCAGCGACGCCGCGUGAGCGAAGAAGUAUUUCGGUAUGUAAAGCUCUAUCAGCAGGGAAGAAACUGACGGUACCUGACUAAGAAGCACCGGCUAAAUACGUGCCAGCAGCCGNGGUAAUCUGAGCGGGCUGGCAAGGC
rnacentral:rRNA from 1 species